rnacentral:rRNA from 1 species
CCUACGGGAGGCAGCAGUGGGGAAUUUUGGACAAUGGGCGCAAGCCUGAUCCAGCAAUGCCGCGUGCAGGAUGAAGGCCUUCGGGUUGUAAACUGCUUUUUGUACGGAACGAAACGGGCUCUUUCUAAUAAAGAGAGCUAAUGACGGUACCGUAAGAAUAAGCACCGGCUAACUACGUGCCAGCAGCCGCGGUAAUACGUAGGGUGCGAGCGUUAAUCGGAAUUACUGGGCGUAAAGCGUGCGCAGGCGGUUUAUAUAAGACAGAUGUGAAAUCCCCGGGCUCAACCUGGGACCUGCAUUUGUGACUGUAUAGCUAGAGUACGGUAGAGGGGGGAUGGAAUUCCGCGUGUAGCAGUGAAAUGCGUAGAUAUGCGGAGGAACACCGAUGGCGAAGGCAAUCCCCUGGACCUGUACUGACGCUCAUGCACGAAAGCGUGGGGAGCGAAACAGGAUUAGAUACCCUGGUAGUCCACGCCCUAAACGAUAGUCAACUGGUUGUUGGGUCUUCACUGACUCAGUAACGAAGCUAACGCGUGAAGUUGACCGCCUGGGGAGUACGGCCGCAAGGUUGAAACUCAAAGGAAAUUGACGG